GUAGCGUAUAUUAAAGUUGUUGCAGUUAAAAAGCUCGUAGUUGGAUUUCUGGCUGGCCGCGUAUGGUCGGGCGUCCUCAGGGCGCUUUGUAUUGUCGCGUGUUUGCCAUCCUUCCAGAGAGCUGUGCCUACCGUCUCGUACGGCAGGGCGCUGCGAUCUGGAUCGUUUACUUUGAAAAAAUUAGAGUGUUCCAAGCAAGCUUACGCUUUGAAUACAUUAGCAUGGAAUAAUAAUAUAGGACUUCUGUUCUAUUUUGUUGGUUUCUAGGACCGAAGUAAUGAUUGAUAGGGAUAGUUGGGGGUGCUAGUAUUCAGCGGCCAGAGGUGAAAUUCUUGGAUUCGCUGAAGACUAACUACUG
rnacentral:rRNA from 1 species